rnacentral:miRNA from 1 species
UGUGUAGAGAUGGGAAAUAUGCU